UACGUAGGGUGCAAGCGUUAAUCGGAAUUACUGGGCGUAAAGCGUGCGCAGGCGGCUAUGCAAGACAGAUGUGAAAUCCCCGGGCUUAACCUGGGAACUGCAUUUGUGACUGCACGGCUAGAGUGUGUCAGAGGGGGGUGGAAUUCCACGUGUAGCAGUGAAAUGCGUAGAUAUGUGGAGGAACACCAAUGGCGAAGGCAGCCCCCUGGGAUAACACUGACGCUCAUGCACGAAAGCGUGGGGAGCAAACAGG
rnacentral:rRNA from 1 species